rnacentral:tRNA from 1 species
GUUGACAUGGCCGAGUUGGUCUAAGGCGCCAGAUUAAGAUUCUGGUCCGAAAGGGCGUGGGUUCAAAUCCACUCUCAACA